rnacentral:tRNA from 1 species
UCGACUGAUACUCGAAAGGUCCUAGGUUCGACUCCUAGAGCGCGCA